GACGAACGCUGGCGGCGUGCUUAACACAUGCAAGUCGAACGAUGAAGCUAGAGCUUGCUCUGGUGAAUUAGUGGCGAACGGGUGAGUAACACGUGAGUAACCUGCCCCGAACUCUGGGAUAACUGCUGGAAACGGUAGCUAAUACUGGAUACGACAUACGAAGGCAUCUUCUGUAGGUGGAAAGAAUUUCGGUUCGGGAUGGACUCGCGGCCGAUCAGGUUGUUGGUGAGGUAGUGGCUCACCAAGGCGACGACGGGUAGCCGGGCCGAGAGGGUGACCAGCCACACGUGGUCUGCGACACGGCCCAGACUCCUACGAGAGGCAGCAGUGGGGAAUAUUGGACAAUGGGCGCAAGCCUGAUGCAGCAACGCCGCGUGAGGGGUGCCAGCAUGCGGGUUGUAAUCCUCUUGUAGUAGGGAAGAAGCGAAAGUGACGGUACCUGCAGAAAAAGCACCGGCUAACUACGUGCCAGCCGCCGCAGUAA
rnacentral:rRNA from 1 species